CAUUCCUAUCUGUUGCAGCCGCUAAGGAUUGACGCUUUUAUUUACAGUUUUACGCUAGAAAAUUCGUUCACAGUUUAUCAUCAUUUGCUGUUAGAAAGUCAACAUCAGUUAUGGAUAUUUUACU